UAGCUUUUUUAUUAAUUAUUAGCAAAAUUAUACAUGCAAGAAUCAUCAUUCCUGUGAGAAUGCCCUAUAAAUCAAACAGAUUUAAAGGAGCUGGUAUCAAGCACACUUACAGUAGCUAAUAACGCCUUGCUCAGCCACACCCCCACGGGAUACAGCAGUAAUUAAAAUUAAGCAAUAAACGAAAGUUUGACUAAGUUAUGCAAUAUAAAUAAGGGUUGGUAAAUCUCGUGCCAGCCACCGCGGUCAUACGAGUAACCCUAAUUAAUAAACCUCGGCGUAAAGAGUGUUAAAAAUAUAAACAAAAAUAAGAUUAAAUCUUAUCUAAGUCGUAAAAAACUACAGAUAAAGAUAAAAUCACAAACGAAAGUAAUCUUAAUAACUCUGAACACACUAAAGCUAAGAUUCAAACUGGGAUUAGAUACCCCACUAUGCUUAGCCAUAAACAAAGAUAUUUAACAACAAAAAUUUUCGCCUGAGAACUACUAGCAACAGCUUAAAACUCAAAGGACUUGGCGGUGCUUUAAACCCAUCUAGAGGAGC
rnacentral:rRNA from 1 species